rnacentral:lncRNA from 1 species
AGCAGCAACACGCCGGCGCCUGUCACAUCGCUCGGGCGGCCACUUCUCGCGAUAUCCGACGCCCGGGCUCCUCCCCCUCGCUCGCGGUUGGUCUUUGUUGGCAAACAGUUAUCAGGAGUUGAGUCAAAGUCCGGGCGGUAGGGGAGGGGUUCCCGUGAUCAAAGCCGGUGGCGCCGGGCCUCACAGGCGGUUCGUACUCUCAGGGCGUCUCGAGCUCCACGCGCGCGGGGACCACCUGUGGGUCUUCGCACUUUCAGAUCGGUGGAGGGCCAAGACCCCGCGUUUCUCCCUGAGGCCGCUCCAGAUCUCUGCACUGAAAUGGAGCCAGAAUCCACAGAUGUCAUUAUCCAUCUGCACACGUUUGUUUACUACCCAGAAGGCAAGAUUGCAUUUUAAAAGUCUUGGAUGGUUAUUCUUUCUCAUCACAAGUGACUUCAGAAGCUUUGACCGUUCGCAUUGACCCUGGCUGAAAGUGUCUGUCAAAGCCUUGCUUCCCGGAGUGCUUUGAGACUCUCCUACAAAAGGCAUUUUUCCACAGAGUGGAAAAACAUCAUUUAUAUUCAUCCUUCGCAGUGGCAUUUCUCCCUGGAAUCUUCCUCUUGUCUGUCAACAUUGGGAGAGAGGCACUGACCUCAUCUACAUUACAAAUGGCACAGGUAGGUAAGAUACAUGUUACACACACACACACACACACACACACACACACACACACGGGGUGGGGCAAGGAAGGGAAGGAGAAAAGACUUUUGUUCUUCCUUAGGGAGUCUCAGGUUUGGCUAUCCAUUAACUGGUUGAGCCAAACAGGUGUGGUAUUACAAAUGUUCUGGUAAGACCUGAGUAUUUGAGUAUUUAACCAAUGCAGUGUUUUGUGGAUUUUAUGUGACGUCCCUGGGGAGAAGGGGCACAUCUGUGCUGAAGGUUGCACAAGAUUGGUUAGUUAGAACCUUCUUGAUUCUGAACAAUUGGAAUAUUGCAGAUCCAGAGCCAAAUUAUCUUGAGCUGCUUUAAUCCCUUCAAUAUCCACCCAUCACCCAGCUCUGUAUCUGACCCAGCAUCUUUUUGACAGUCAGAUAAACUUUUUGGAAUUUAUUAACAGACCAUUAACUUUUACUAACUAAAAAAAUAAGUAUACCAUGCAAUAACACCAAAACCCUACGGCAGAGUUUUCUCUCCUUUGUUAUAAUCUGCUCAUUUGAUGUUCC